CCCAGACUCCUACGGGAGGCAGCAGUAGGGAAUAUUGCUCAAUGGGGGAAACCCUGAAGCAGCAACGCCGCGUGAGCGAAGAAGUAUUUCGGUAUGUAAAGCUCUAUCAGCAGGGAAGAAAAAAAUGACGGUACCUGAGUAAGAAGCACCGGCUAAAUACGUGCCAGCAGCCGCGGUAAUACGUAUGGUGCAAGCGUUAUCCGGAUUUACUGGGUGUAAAGGGAGCGUAGGCGGCGCGUUAAGUCUGAUGUGAAAACCCGAGGCUCAACCACGGGAGUGCAUUGGAAACUGGCGGGCUGGAGUGCCGGAGAGGUAAGCGGAAUUCCUAGUGUAGCGGUGAAAUGCGUAGAUAUUAGGAGGAACACCAGUGGCGAAGGCGGCUUACUGGACGGCAACUGACGCUGAGGCUCGAAAGCGUGGGGAGCAAACAGGAUUAGAUACCCCUGUAAG
rnacentral:rRNA from 1 species